GGUGAGUAACGCGUGAGGACAUGUCUGCAGGAGGGGGAUAACGUUUGGAAACGGACGCUAAGACCCCGUAAGCCGGGAGGUAAAAGUGGCGAAAGCCAGCCUGUGGAGUGACUCGCGUCCUAUCAGCUAGUUGGCGGGGUGAAGGCCCACCAAGGCGAUGACGGGUAGCCGACCUGAGAGGGUGGCCGGCCACACUGGAACUGAGAUACGGUCCAGACUCCUACGGGAGGCAGCAGUGGGGAAUAUUGGGCAAUGGGCGGAAGCCUGACCCAGCGACGCCGCGUGGGGGAAGAAGUCUUUCGGGAUGUAAACCCUUGUUGUACGGGACGAAGGAAGUGACGGUACCGUACGAGGAAGCCCCGGAAAACUACGUGCCAGCAGACGCGGUAAUACGUAAGGGGCGAGCGGUUGUCCCGGAAUCACUGGGCGUAAAGCGCACGUAGGGCGGGCUGUCAAGUCGGCCGUGAACGGCAGGGCUCACCUGUGCAU
rnacentral:rRNA from 1 species